rnacentral:rRNA from 1 species
CCUACGGGGGCAGCAGUGGGGAAUAUUGGACAAUGGGCGAAAGCCUGAUCCAGCCAUGCCGCGUGUGUGAAGAAGGCCUUCGGGUUGUAAAGCACUUUCAGUGGGGAAGAAAGCCUUGGGGCUAAUACCCUCGAGGAAGGACAUCACCCACAGAAGAAGCACCGGCUAACUCCGUGCCAGCAGCCGCGGUAAUACGGAGGGUGCGAGCGUUAAUCGGAAUUACUGGGCGUAAAGCGCGCGUAGGCGGUCUGAUAAGCCGGUUGUGAAAGCCCCGGGCUCAACCUGGGAACGGCAUCCGGAACUGUCAGGCUAGAGUGCAGGAGAGGAAGGUAGAAUUCCCGGUGUAGCGGUGAAAUGCGUAGAGAUCGGGAGGAAUACCAGUGGCGAAGGCGGCCUUCUGGACUGACACUGACGCUGAGGUGUGAAAGCGUGGGUAGCAAACAGGAUUAGAUACCCUGGUAGUC